rnacentral:lncRNA from 1 species
GGGCUUGUUUCAUUUGUUCCGAGUAUAUGGCAAUGAAAGUUCUCGAUGAAACUGAUGUCUUGAAUAAAAUGACCAGACAGGAAAAAGCUGAUCAUCUUGAGUGGGCUAUUUGGUUGAGUUAUGCAAGAAUUACUGCCAAGUUGUUUGAUAGCCGCCCAUACUGGAUUUUUAGUGAUGACGUCAUCUUUUCCUUGGACUGUGACAUCAAACUACUACAGCUCGUCCCAAAGGAAUCAAUGCCCCAGUUAUUCUUUUCGUUCCUCGUGGAUAUUUUCUUUCACGAUGAGAUAUUUAAAUUUUGUGUAAAAAAUGGAUUAACGGCGGAUGUAUGUGUUCCUCAAUUCUUUGAGAACACCAAGGGCUUUGACUCGUCCAUCUGCUGGAACGAAGAUGUCCAAGAGUAUUUUAGAAAAUUGAAGUCAGGCG